rnacentral:tRNA from 1 species
AGGGCUGUAGCUCAAUUGGCAGAGCACCGGUCUCCAAAACCGGGGGUUAGGGGUUCGAUUCCCUUCAGCCCUG